AUUGAACGCUGGCGGCAGGCCUAACACAUGCAAGUCGAGCGGUAACAGUCCUUCGGGAGCUGACGAGCGGCGGACGGGUGAGUAACGCGUAGGAAUCUACCCAGUAGCGGGGGAUAGCCCGGGGAAACUCGGAUUAAUACCGCAUACGCCCUAAGGGGGAAAGCAGGGGAUCUUCGGACCUUGUGCUAUUGGAUGAGCCUGCGUUGGAUUAGCUAGUUGGUAGGGUAAAGGCCUACCAAGGCGACGAUCCAUAGCUGGUCUGAGAGGAUGAUCAGCCACACUGGGACUGAGAAACGGCCCAGACUCCGACGGGAGGCAGCAGUGGGGAAUAUUGGACAAUGGGGGCAACCCUGAUCCAGCCAUGCCGCGUGUGUGAAGAAGGCCUUCGGGUUGUAAAGCACUUUAAGUAGGGAGGAAGGCUCUGUGGCUAAUAUCCACGGGGAUUGACGUUACCUACAGAAUAAGCACCGGCUAACUCCGUGCCAGCAGCCGCCGUAACAC
rnacentral:rRNA from 1 species